CUUAUGUUGUACUGUUAUACCACUGUCCCAGGUUAGGGGAGGGUUGUGAUCCCACUAACAUGUUUAACCCUGCCACAUUAUUUAUGAAUGUGCCUGUCCCAAGUCAGGAGCCUGUAAUUCAGUGGUUGUUGUUUGUUUAUAGGUUACAUAUUUGUUUUUGGUUCAUUUUUUUAUACAAAUAAGGUCAUUAGUUUUCUCGUUUGAAUUGUUUUACAUUGUCAUAUCGGGACCUUUUAUAGCUGACUAUGCGGUAUGGGCUUUGCUCAUUGCUGAAGGCUGUACGGUGACCUAUGGUCUCUUGUGGACAGUUG
rnacentral:lncRNA from 1 species